GCCUAUUUAUUAUAAAUUUAAGUAAGUUUAAUUUCCAAUUGAAAAGUCUCAUAGAGAAUGGGUA
rnacentral:tRNA from 1 species